rnacentral:lncRNA from 1 species
CUCCAUUUGAUAAACAUUUAUUAUGCUACAAAUUUUACAAACAUGGCAAAAUAUAGCUUAUCUGUGUAUAUAAAUCACUGAAGCUGCUUCACUACAAUGUUUUUCCAGACCAAUUUACUUCAAAUUUAUUAUUGUUAUGUGUUUGACAUGUACAUACAUAGUCAGGACAAGGAACAUAUAAUUAUAUUAUUUUGCAAGAAAUCCUGUAACUGUUGAAGUUGUCAAUAAUGAAUCCAGCUGAGAAUUAUUGUUGCUAGAUUUUUUGUGAUUCUAUUUUUUAGGCUUAUACGAUAUCAGAAAUAAAUUAUUUCAAAUAAAUUAUUUAUUUCUGAUAUCGUAUAAGCCUAAAAAUAGAAUCACAAAAAAUCUAGCAACAAUAAUUCUCAGCUGGAUUCAUUAUUGACAACUUCAACAGUUACAGGAUUUUAAUAAAUGGAAGCCUUAAUAAUCUGAAAAAAAAAUUUCAAAUAGAGGAGAGGGCUGACAUCUUGGAUUCCUCUAAUACAUCUAUGUAAAGAUUAAAGAAUUUUUUUUUUAUUAUUUUUUUUACAGUUUUGGUAUACAUGUAUAUAGAUAGCUAAAAAGGAUUCAUGGUUCAGUAAACUAAAACAAGAUAACUUUAAUUUAAUGUUUUAAUUAUACACUGAAAAAGAUCAAGUAAAGUUUACUGAUGCUAGAUUUUUUUAUUGGAUUUUAAUAAUAUAAUUAUAUUCAGUCUGCCACUACUUUAGUAUUAUAGGGAGAAGAGGUGAGACUUAAUAGAGAAGUACUUGGUUACGCAAGGCACUACAAUUCAUUUUGCUGGCUUUCAUUUAUAUGUCUAAAUUCUAUCAGGCAUAAAAAUAGAUUGAAAGCAAUUCCAUAUACAUAAAAUAUAGACUCAGGUAAAAAUCUAUAAUCUAAUAUGCUAAAAAAUAGGAAUACAUAUGUAAAAAUAUAAUUUUAGACUUUUUAAUGUAAAAAAAAAUAACAAAUAAGAAUACAAAAUGCAUUUAAUAAAAAAUAAUAUGACAAAGUUGAGAAAUAAAGAAAAUUCUGUAAACUUAACAAAAAAACAUCAUUUUCAACAUAAAAAUAAGUAAAGAAAGAAAAAAAACUUGGAAUAAAUAGCAGUAAUAGAACAUUAUAGUAGUACAUAAUAAUGCUUAUCAAUUAUCAGCAAAAGUCUAUUUUGCUUUUUCAGUUGUAUAUUGGGUACAGAUUUUCAUACCUAUAUUCACCUAAGGACUCUAGUGGAACUAAAGACUUUUUUAAAUAUCCUAUUUCAAUAUUUCAAGUAUUAUGAUUACUGUAAUCUUUUAAUUAAAAUUAAAAAAAAAUGCAACUUCACCUUCUUAAUUGUUUUUAAUCUAAUACGCAAGUAAUGAAGGUCAUGAAUCAAUAGUUUGAAAACAAAAUAAUCUUAAGAUACCAAAUUAACUAAAACAAAAGGACAAGCAUAAAACGAAUUAUUUACUUCAAGAAUGUACAUGUACAGGGUGGAUAAUUAAAUUAUUACGACAUAAUUCUGGCCAACAUACAUCAGAACUUUUUUCAUUAUUGCAAAAAUAAAAUAUUUUACACAGUCAUGACAGUUGCAUGUCAGUUUGUAUUGAUAAUUAAUAUUAACAAUACAUAUUAAAGUUACCAAAGUUUUAUUACUUUUAGAAAUAUUUUAAUUUGAACUGUAACUCAGUUCAGAAAAUGAUAGAUAAAAUUAAAAGUGAGAUGUAUCCAGUGUAUAAAUCAUCAAUAGCUUACUGGCAAACACAUAAUGAAUGACAGAUCUAUAAAAUUCUGAGAUUUAGUCCUUUAAUAUCUUUUUUUUUAUUUUCAGUUUGGUAAAAUGUCUACAUGUCAAUCUGACAAGUGUUACUGUAGAUUUAUUUAUUUUUGUGGGUACAAUUUUUUUUUGGAUUGAAAAAACUUACAUAUUGUUGAUAUUUAGUCUCAUGGUUUUGCAAAAGUCUGUAUACAAAGCAAAUAGAAAAUUUACAAUUCUUUGAACAUUUUAAUUUCGUGGUUAACAUGUAUUCAUGAAAUCCAUGAAAUUUGGUAUCCAACAAAAAUUAUUCAUAUGCAUUUAUUUUGUAUCAAUGAUUCUGAUUGGAUGACAGUUAGCGUAAAAUUCUCUAUCUCCUUGUCAGUAACUAAGGAAGCCGUCAUUUUGAAUUGCUGAAUGUAUUGACAUGUAAUUUUUUCAAUAAUAAGCAAAGAAACUCACAUGUUGCACCUAAAAAUCUUCUUUUUAUCAAACUUUAUUACAUUCAGAAGCGGCACAGAAGCCAGAAAACGCCUGGUGUUUAUUUUUGACGCCGGAAGCAUACCUAUGACGUCACCUAGUGUAGGGACCAAAGAAGAUAACAUCUUUUCGCAGAAUUUUCUUUAAUGAAGAUUUUACACUGAAUUAAUAAUGAUUGAAAUUUAAUUAUGAACUUGUUUUGCAUUAGAAUAGAGAUUACUGUAUUGUAUUUGAAGCUUUUGCGGACGUCAAUCGGUAGUUUUACUGUCGCAAAUACCUGUUACCUCUGUCUCCGCUCCGCGUCGCCAGGUAAAUCUAAAUUUGUGACAGUAAAACUACUGAUGGAAGUCCUCUAAGCUUCAAAUACAAUACAGUUAUCUCUUAAAAGAAUGCACAGUAUUAUAAAUAUCUCAAACAAUCAUAAUAUUAUAAUAUAAUCACUCAUUUAUUUCUUUAUGACACAAACAACUUAAGUUGUUGCUAUUACCGUAAGUAUUUCAAAAAUUUAGAUAUCAAAAGAAAUUUUGUUUGUCUAUAGAAAUAUUGUUUGAAUUGUCAAAGAGAACUUUUUGUUUAACACUGUAUGGAUUGUCAAAGAGCACUUUUUGUUUAACACUGUAUGGAUUGUCAAAGAGCACUUUUUGUUUAACACUAUAGCUAUAUUA